rnacentral:rRNA from 1 species
AACGAACGCUGGCGGCAUGCCUAACACAUGCAAGUCGAACGAGACCUUCGGGUCUAGUGGCGCACGGGUGCGUAACGCGUGGGAACCUUCCCUUAGGUUCGGAAUAACUCCCCGAAAGGGGUGCUAAUACCGGAUAAUGUCUUCGGGCCAAAGAUUUAUCGCCUGUGGAUGGGCCCGCGUUGGAUUAGCUCGGUGGUAGGGUAAAAGCCUACCAAGGCGACAAUCCAUAGCUGGUCUGAGAGGAUGAUCAGCCACACUGGGACUGAGACACGGCCCAGACUCCGACGGGAGGCAGCAGUGGGGAAUAUUGGACAGUGGGCGAAAGCCUGAUCCAGCAAUGCCGCGUGAGUGAUGAAGGCCUUAGGGUUGUAAAGCUCUUUUACCCGGGAUGAUAAUGACAGUACCGGGAGAAUAAGCUCCGGCUAACUCCGU